rnacentral:tRNA from 1 species
GCCUAUGUGGUCUAGUCGUAUGAUACUCCCUUCGGGUGGGAGUGGUCCCCGGUUCAAUUCCGGGCAUGGGCC